GGCUCAGAGACGCUCCUCUGGAAUCCGAAGGCUGCUGGGUGAAAGAGUCCUUCUCUGACAUCUGGCACCCCGCACGGGUGUCGGUGUCUGUGUGUGGCGGGGCGUGCGUGUGAGUCUGUGCCCUUCCCAGAGCCAAGCCUCGCAGGGGGCACGGCGAAGCCACUCAGGGCCGGGCCGCCCAGGCCGGGGCUGCGGAGUGAGCCCGUCUCCCUUCCCCGCAGCAGAGCCUCUCCCUGCUGGGCCAGGCUAACGAGUCCUCAGGUUGGCUGGGGAACUCUGCUCCAUAUCAUCCUUAAUCAAGGAGCCAGAGCUCAAGAAGGUCAAGGAACUCCUGAUCUCCACUUUAAGGCUUCUUAACGUGAAGCUGGUGUCCUGCAAGUGAUAGUUCCUAACGGUAUCAACACCAGUGACUGCUUCUGGUACCCUCGCUCUCAGGUCUUUAGUGGAGGCGUUGCCACAAACGAGUAAGUCAGCAGUGUUACCCUCCGUCCUACUGACCAGCUUCUCCUCCACCUCCAGGGGCACCUCCGGGAGCCCAUCCCCGAGCUCCUGAAUCCAUGUCUGAGGACUUAUCAUCAUGGUGGAUGAGAUUGAAAAACAGGAUCAUAACAGCAGGUGGAGGGUGGAGACAGAUGAGGAUGGCUCUAGGUGAACAGGAGCCCAAGGCCUGGAGGGAGUGGUCCAGCCUGGGCAGUACCCCAGCGGGGUAGGGGGGCAGGUAGGGAACAGGCAGAAAAGGAGAGUUCUUUCUAUCUUGCAAAACAAACUCCAUGCCCUUAGACAACAGAUUCCCAGUGCUCCCUCCCCGCAGCCCCUGGCAAACACCAUUCUGCUUUCUGUCUCUAUGAUUUCGACUAUUGUAUGUGUCACCUAUGAAUGGAAACAUACAGUUGUCCUUUUGUGACUGCCUGAUUUCACUUAGCACAACGUCCUGAACUUUCAUCCAUGUUGUGACAUGUGUCAACAUUUCCUUCCUCUUUAAGGCUGAAUACUAUUCCAUUGUACGUAUAAACCAUAUUGUGUUUUUCCAUUGAACCAUUGAUGGACACUUGGGUUGCUUCCAUGUUCUGGCUGCUGUGAAUAACGCUAUGAUGAAUAUUAGGUGCUCUUUUCAAGAUUGUUUUGACUGAUUUGUGGGGUUUUUUAAAAAAGAUUUUAUGUAUUUAUUUGAGAGAGAGAGAGAGCACAAGUCGGAGGGAGGGCUAGUGGGAGAAGCAGACCCCCACUGAGCAGGGAGCCCAAUGCAGGGCUCGAUCCCAGGACCCCGGGAUCAUGACUUCAGCCAAAGGCAGAUGUUUACCCGACUGAGCCACCCAAGUGCCCCGACCUAUUUGUAUUUUAAAUGGUGGGAUAUUUUAAGAACCCAAGAAAGCCAGUGAGAGCUAUUUUAGGUAGAAACAGGCUUAGCGUCCCCUGCAUCAAGCCAUGUUGCCUGCCAACAGGACUGCCCUCAGAUGCACAUUUUAUCUAGUAUCAUGUAUUUUUCAUUUCAUCACUGAAAAUGAUAAAAAGUUGUACCCAGUAGGGAGAGAAUAUAUAAACACUGAACUUCCCAAGCCAGUUGACCAUGGGAAUUUUGACAAUGGUGAUUUAUCAGACAGUGACUUUGGGAGGUGACAGGAUGCAGCAGGAACAAACAGGUGGCUUUGGCAUCAAACCCGGCAAACAUCUUUCCCCACAUGGGUUUUAAACACCUUCCUGACCUGAGUUUCAGGGUUCUUAUUGAUUCCCAUUUACCCCUGAGCUCUCCUGUGUCUUCAACUCUUAGUUACUCCCCAUCAGCACUGCAACAUGCUCAAGCCUUUAACAAAACAAAAUGGCAAGAUAAAAGCACAACCACUCCUUUGAGCCCUGUCUCUCUUUGCCUCCCAGCCUCUCUCUCUUCCCCCUGGAAGACUGUCUUCCCCCAUCUACUUUCACAUCCCACUCCAAUUCACUCCUAAACCCAUUGUGCUCUGGCUUCUGCCCCUAUGCUCUUCUUCUGAGUUUUAUUUAUUUAUUUAUAUAAUUAAAAAAUUUUUAAAAAUUUAUUCAUGAGCAAUACACAGAGAGAGAGUCAGAGACACAGGCAGAGGGAGAAGCAGGCUCCAUGCAGGGAGCCCAAUACGAGACUCGAUCCUGGGACUCCAGGAUCACGUCCUGAGAUGCAGGCCGGUGCUCAACCACUGAGCCACCUAGGAUUCCCCUUCUUCUAGGUUCUAAUGUGACCUUGCUGGGCCUCCUGGUCUGAGCUCGUGAUGGGUCUGAGUCUCAGCUCCAAUUCAAGGCAGCAAGAGCACUGCACCCUGAGAAGUCCUGGCAUGCAGCUUCAGAGGCAAUCCCUAGAACACCAAGAAUAUAUAUAUAGUGACUGCCUGAUUUCACUUAGCACAGUGUCCUCAACUUUCAUCCAUGUUGUGACAUGUGUCAACAUUUCCUUCCUCUUUAAGGCUGAAUACUAUUCCAUUGUAUGUAUAAACCAUAUUGCAUUUUUCCAUUGGGCCAUUGAUGGACAUUUGGGUUGCUUCUACCAUCUGGCUGUUGUGAAUAAUGCUAUGAUGAACAUUAGGGUAUAAAUAUGACCAUAUGUGUGUGUGUGUGUGUGUGUGUGUGUGUGUGUGUGUAUUUUCCCCAUUAAGGUAUAUGGUAACCCAGGUAAGGUGUAUGAUCUAUGGAACUGCAUCCUUACUAAUGCAGAAACAAGAACAACAUUUGCAAAACAUCUUCCAGACAGUGGAGCCUCAAGGUCAGGGGAUCAACUCUAUCAUCCAACACACCUGGAGUGACCCUCCCAGCUCUGCCAUUUGCUAUCUGGGAGACCUUGGGCAAGUUCCUUCAAUUCUCUCUGCCUCCUCACCUCGCCUCAAAAAUGGCCAUGGCAAUAGCAGGCACCACAAGGAACUAUUAGAAGAAGUGAGCAAGACCAUGUGUGUCAGGUGCUAAGUGCAGUUCAUGGCCCAUAGGAAGCAUUUCAUAAGGAAUAGCUCUCAUGACUACUUUUUAUCUAAGCCCAUCUCAAUUUUCACACCUCUAAGAUGGGAAUGAACAAAUGUGGUAAGACUAAGGGUUUGUUACAAAAUUCUCUAGAGAGUCAUUGGUUUCCUGAGUGAUCAGAAACAUUUCAGGGGCACCUGUGUGGCUCAGUCUGUUGAGCAUCUGACUCUUGAUCUCUGCUCAGGUCCUGAUCUUGGGGUUGUGAGUUCAGGCCCUCUGCAUUGGGUUCCAUGCUGGGUGUGGAGCCUGCUUAAGAGGGAGAGAGAGAGAGAGAGAGAGAGAGA
rnacentral:lncRNA from 1 species